GAGGACACACAGUUAUCAGAUAGAAUGUCACCAGAUAAGGAAGACGUUUACAUCAUGUUAAGGACCAUUUCAAAGCCAUGUGAGGUGACUGAAUGUAAAUAAUGUUAUCUUGAUGAUACUUUUUAACAAUAAAACCUUGUUGUUGUUUAUCUCAUGCAGGCCUACAACAAUAACAGCUAACGCGAAGAAAUUUUGAAGUGCUACUUUGUGUAAAAAGUUUGACAACCUCAGGACAACAGCAUGUGCCGUACAAAAUUGGUUACGUCAGUGUCGUAUGCACGGAACUCAGUCGUAAAGCGAGGACCCGCUUUGCGGUAACUAUGCUAUGUGGUGAUUGGCUGGUAAAUAACUGACUGGCAACCGAUGGGCGUUUUGUGCUCCAUUUCCAACCAGACUGCAUAAUGACAAGAGACCAUUUAAACAUUACAUCGCGUGACAACCAAAAUAUACGUGGCCAGAGAGCAUACAUUUAACGCAAUUAUCACUAUUGUGCUUUUAUCCUAUAUUCGGCAUGAACAAUAUGCAGUAAAAAGCAAAUUAGACUAUCUAGCAAGGUCAUUGGAAGUGGUGUUGGACGCGGUAGCGAGCUGUCGAACACGAACCGGCAACAUCAAGUAAAACUUAACCAACCUGGCAAUUUGAAACGUUUGCUGCACAGCUGAACCACAAGAACCCUCAAGCCGAGCAGGACACGUUCCAAUAUGAAGUUGACAAAAUGACAACUCUCGCGUCCUUUCCUCCUCACAAAUAUUUCACAGGAAGACACUUUUUGAAGAUGCCAUCUAUCCACUGUCAAUACCACUUUCCUCCUCGGGGGUGAGGUGGUAUCUAUCAUAUCCAACUUUGGGCUAGCGCCGGGGUACACCCUGGACUGGUCGCAAGUCAAUGUGAGAGGAAACCGGAGAAAACCCAUGCGAACAUGCAGAACGCCACACAGAGAUGUUCCAACAGAGAUUCAAAACCAGAUGGAUCUCCUAUGCGCCACAUACAGUAUCAGAUAUGUACCAUGUAAAAGCUUCUGACAGUAAAUAGGAUGUUUGAAUACCAAAUGAGUGGAUUCAUUCAGAAAUUCUACACCCUAUUAAGGAUAAGCCUUUAGAAAAGAGCAUGUGCGUGUGUGUGUGUGUGUGGGG